rnacentral:rRNA from 1 species
UACGUAGGGUGCGAGCGUUAAUCGGAAUUACUGGGCGUAAAGCGUGCGCAGGCGGUUUUGUAAGCCAGAUGUGAAAUCCCCGGGCUCAACCUGGGAAUGGCAUUUGGGACUGCAAGGCUUGAGUGCGGCAGAGGAGACUGGAAUUCCUGGUGUAGCAGUGAAAUGCGUAGAUAUCAGGAGGAAUACCGAUGGCGAAGGCAGGCCUCUGGGCUGACACUGACGCUCAUGCACGAAAGCGUGGGGAGCAAACAGG